CUACACGACACUCUUCUCGAUUUUUUCCUAUUAUCGUGCGCAAAGUUCGAUUUUGCGCAUGCAUUUGCGUUCGCAAAGUACCACUUUCCCACACGUUGACAAGAGCGUGCGGGAAUGCAACUGAGCGAACGGGGAUGUAGCUGAGCGUGCGGGAAUGUGGUGAGCGUGCGGGAAUGUAUAAGAGUAUACGAGCGAUUCCAAGGUAUAUACGCGCGCGCCAUCUCUACGGCACUCUCUUCGCAUUAACACGUGCGAGCGAUACUUUGACG